ACGGAAGGCAGCAGUGGGAAUAUUGGGCAAUGGGCGAAAGCCUGACCCAGCAACGCCGCGUGAAGGAAGAAGGUCUUCGGAUUGUAAACUUCUUUUAUAAGGGACGAAGAAAGUGACGGUACCUUAUGAAUAAGCCACGGCUAACUACGUGCCAGCAGCCGCGGUAAUACGUAGGUGGCAAGCGUUAUCCGGAUUUACUGGGUGUAAAGGGCGCGUAGGCGGGGAUGCAAGUCAGAUGUGAAAUCUAUGGGCUCAACUCAUAAACUGCAUUUGAAACUGUAUCUCUUGAGUGCUGGAGAGGUAGAUGGAAUUCCUUGUGUAGCGGUGAAAUGCGUAGAUAUAAGGAAGAACACCAGUGGCGAAGGCGAUCUACUGGACAGUAACUGACGCUGAGGCGCGAGAGCGUGGGGAGCAAACAGGAUUAGAUACCCUGGUA
rnacentral:rRNA from 1 species